rnacentral:rRNA from 1 species
GACGAACGCUGGCGGCGUGCUUAACACAUGCAAGUCGAACGGAAAGGCCCUGCUUUUGUGGGGUGCUCGAGUGGCGAACGGGUGAGUAACACGUGAGUAACCUGCCCUUGACUUUGGGAUAACUUCAGGAAACUGGGGCUAAUACCGGAUAGGAGCUCCUGCUGCAUGGUGGGGGUUGGAAAGUUUCGGCGGUUGGGGAUGGACUCGCGGCUUAUCAGCUUGUUGGUGGGGUAGUGGCUUACCAAGGCUUUGACGGGUAGCCGGCCUGAGAGGGUGACCGGCCACAUUGGGACUGAGAUACGGCCCAGACGCCUACGGGAGGCAGCAGUGGGGAAUAUUGCGCAAUGGGCGGAAGCCUGAUGCAGCAACGCCGCGUGCGGGAUGACGGCCUUCGGGUUGUAAACCGCUUUCGCCUGUGACGAAGCGUGAGUGACGGUAAUGGGUAAAGAAGCACCGGCUAACUACGUG